rnacentral:rRNA from 1 species
CGUAUAUUUAAGUUGUUGCAGUUAAAAAGCUCGUAGUUGGAUUUCGGGUGGCUUUCUGCGGUCCGCCUUCGGGUGUGCACUGCUGUCGGCCACCUUUCUGUCGGGGACGGGCUCCUGGGCUUCACUGUCCGGGACUCGGAGUCGGCGAGGUUACUUUGAGUAAAUUAGAGUGUUCAAAGCAAGCCUGAGCUCUGAAUACAUUAGCAUGGAAUAACACGAUAGGACUCUGGCCUAUCUUGUUGGUCUGUAGGACCGGAGUAAUGAUUAAGAGGGACAGUCGGGGG